CGUCAAGUCAGUAUGGCCCUUACGACCAGGGCUGCACACGUGCUACAAUGCUCGGUACAAUGGGAUGCAAUACCGCGAGGUUGAGCCAAUCCAUAAAGCCGAGCCCAGUUCGGAUUGGAGUCUGCAACUCGACUCCAUGAAGUUGGAAUCGCUAGUAAUGGCGUAUCAGCAACGACGCCGUGAAUACGUUCCCGGGCCUU
rnacentral:rRNA from 1 species